GUCUAUGGCCAUGCCACCCUGAACAAGCCUGAUCCCAUCUGAUCUUGGAAGCUAAGCAGGGUUGGGUCUGGUUAGUACUAGAAUGGGAGACCACCUAGGAAGACUAGAUGCUGUAGGCA
rnacentral:rRNA from 1 species